AUUGAACGCUGGCGGCAGGCCUAACACAUGCAAGUCGAGCGGAUGAAGGGAGCUUGCUCCUGGAUUCAGCGGCGGCUGGGUGAGUAAUGCCUAGGAAUCUGCCUGGUAGUGGGGGAUAACGUCCGGAAACGGGCGCUAAUACCGCAUACGUCCUGAGGGAGAAAGUGGGGGAUCUUCGGACCUCACGCUAUCAGAUGAGCCUAGGUCGGAUUAGCUAGUUGGUGGGGUAAAGGCCUACCAAGGCGACGAUCCGUAACUGGUCUGAGAGGAUGAUCAGUCACACUGGAACUGAGACACGGUCCAGACUCCUACGGGAGGCAGCAGUGGGGAAUAUUGGACAAUGGGCGAAAGCCUGAUCCAGCCAUGCCGCGUGUGUGAAGAAGGUCUUCGGAUUGUAAAGCACUUUAAGUUGGGAGGAAGGGCAGUAAGUUAAUACCUUGCUGUUUUGACGUUACCAACAGAAUAAGCACCGGCUAACUUCGUG
rnacentral:rRNA from 1 species